rnacentral:rRNA from 1 species
CUACGGGUGGCAGCAGUGAGGAAUAUUGCACAAUGGGGGGAACCCUGAUGCAGCAACGCCGCGUGGAGGAUGACGCAUUUCGGUGUGUAAACUCCUUUUAUAUGUCAAGAAAAUGACGGUAGCAUAUGAAAUAGCACCGGCUAACUCCGUGCCAGCAGCCGCGGUAAUACGGAGGGUGCAAGCGUUACUCGGAAUCACUGGGCGUAAAGGACGCGUAGGCGGGUUGGAAAGUCAGGUGUGAAAUCCUACAGCUUAACUGUAGAACUGCACUUGAAACUUCUAAUCUAGAGUAUGGGAGGGGGAGAUGGAAUUAGUGGUGUAGGGGUAAAAUCCGUAGAUAUCACUAGGAAUACCUAAAGCGAAGGCGAUCUCCUGGAACAUUACUGACGCUAAGGCGUGAAAGCGUGGGGAGCAAACAGGAUUAGAUACCCGCGUAGUC